ACUUCUGCGAGAGCGAGGGAUCAUUUGCCCAUAUCAUCUUGGGAUGGUUGUCUUUCUUGUUUCUAGUCACAAGCAGCUUUCCCUCCUUCUCAAGCUUAUUGAUCGUCUCUACGAUAGUAGGCCAGCCUU
rnacentral:snoRNA from 1 species